AUCGCCACCGCAAAAUGAUAGCAUUCCAAAAUUUAUUGGCAUAAGUGGGACAAGAAGUCACAGGAAGCAUUAUUCAGCGAGACUUGGGUCGGUACAGCUUGAAACUUCCAACGUGCCUAUAAUUUAACAACAGUAUCUUUUGCUUCUCUUAAAUCUAUCUGCUUCUGCUUCUGCCUCUGCCUCUUCUGAUUAUCCUUUUUUUUCUCGUUUUUGUUUUUGUUCCUUUUCUUGUUGCCAACCCAUUUCCACUCUGUAAAAGUAUAGCAGAAAUCUAUCGGUAUGGUUGAAUGAUCUUAUGUUGAUACCCACAAAAAAAACAAAAAAAAAAACAAUAUGAUCUUAUGUUGAUACCCACAAAAAAAACUUGAAUGAUCUUAUGUUGAUACCCACAAAAAAAACAAAAAAAAAAACAAUAAUUAUGUUUUCUGGAAGCAUUUUUAAUGUUUCAUGAUUGAUCCCAGUAUGGAGAUACGAGCUUUGCAAAAUAAUAGCCAUGUGAGUUUCAGGUGUGCAGGGAAUGGGAAGCCAAAACCUUUUCAACAAUCAUUCUUUCUUCUGUUUUGAUCUUUUCUCAGUCUUUUUCCCAUUAUAAAGCUCUUUCUUUUACAUUAUCUUCUCGUCGCCUUCAGUAACUUGAGUCCUCUACAUAUAUAUUUACUUUGUCAAAAGUGCUUUCAGCAGCUCGUUUUGCUCAAAAACCCAACCCUAAAACAAAGAAUUGAAUCAUCUACCGGUCUCAGCUUCAAUUAUCAGGUACUAUAUAUUCUUUCUUCUUAUUAUCUGCAAAACAAUUUUCUUCUUGCGUUAGCUAUAUGGGAAGUCAUGUACAUAAAUGGUCGCAUAACAUAAAAGUUGUAAAUUUAGGGCUAGGGUCAGGCCUCCCGCCUCCGCCUUCACAUGUACAUGUCUACAUGAAUGAGGUUAAGAGAGCUUUUGCGUUUAGAGUGAAGGCUGAAGUUUACAACUCGUUUUGAUGGUUCAUUUUUUUUAAAAAAAAAUUCUCAUUAAAUUCUUCUAUUGAUAAGUUUUUUGUAUUCAAUUUUCUAUCACCAUCAUCAUCACAGCAGCAUUAGCUGUUACGGGCAGCUGUCUGUAUUUAAUCUGCUAGCUACCUAGAAAUUUGUUAGCUUCAGAACUCUUUUUACUGUUUUCUCCGUGCACAGAAGACAUUCUCAGUCCUCCGAAUUUGUGCCCAUUUGAGUGACCAAAUUGCCCUUAAAAAAUAUGAGGUGCUCUGAGUUUCUACUUUCUAACUAGCCACCAAUCCUUUACUGACAGAAUCUAGUGGUGUAAAUCACAAUGGAUUGACCCAAACACCCUUCACAGUGCUUGCAUAUUUCAUUUUCAUUUUCGAAAACAAUCGGUCCGCCGGUUCUCUUGUCCAGUUCAUCAUCAACACUGUGCCGCAUCAUUUAUAUAGAAAAUUUACAAAACUGAUUAAUCAGGAAAAAUGUGAAUGCCUAUUUGUUUUAAUUUCGUGUUAAUGGCUAUUGCAGAGAAAUGGAUCAAUCAGAAAAAUCACCCAAGCAAUCAUCUAAGGCGUGCGAGUCACCUUUGUCGAG
rnacentral:lncRNA from 1 species